rnacentral:lncRNA from 1 species
UAAACCUUUAGAGUUUAGGGAUGAAAGCCACAGGAGAAACCAGGAAGAGAAAAAGAAAAGGAAAACACUUUGUUCUCUUUGCUUCCAUGGAGGCCCAAAGUGCUUUGAGCAGUGCCUGGCAUACAAUCCGCUCUCCAGAGGCAAUCACUAUUAGCAGUCUCUAAUAGAGAACCAGAGAGAUGGCUUCAUGAGGAUUCGGCUUGAUGUUGCUGGCUUUGAAGAUGGAGAGGAGCUAUAAGCCAAGGAAUGUGGGCAGCCUUUAGAAGCUGGAGAAGCAAAGAAACAGAAAAGGCAAGGAAUACAGCCUUGCUUUUAGCCCAGUGGGAUCUGUGUUGGCUUUCUGAUCCACAAAACUGGGCAAUAAUAAAUCUGUCUUGUUUUAAGCCAUUAAGUUUGCGGUUACAGUAACCAUAGAAAAUUAAUAUAUUAUAUGUAUUUACACUCCUACCAAUAAGUAAUGUGUUUCCUCACACCCCUGCCAUUAGUGCCUCCUUUUUUUUUUUAUAGUUUUCUCCCCUCAUAUGAAUACUGCUUCCUAUAUUAUUUGAAAAGAAAUGUUUACAAUUCAGUGUCCUAUAAUUAAUUUUUUUAGUUAAAAGGAAAAUCUCAGCCAUAAUUAUCUGUCAUUCUUUU